CAGCCGCCACGGGAAUACGAGGGGGGCAAGCGUUGUUCGGAAUUAUUGGGCGUAAAGGGUGCGUAGGCGGUUUGGCAAGUUUGGUGUGAAAUCUUCGGGCUCAACUCGAAGUCUGCAUCGAAAACUGCCGGGCUUGAGUAUGGGAGAGGUGAGUGGAAUUUCCGGUGUAGCGGUGAAAUGCGUAGAUAUCGGAAGGAACACCUGUGGCGAAAGCGGCUCACUGGACCAUAACUGACGCUGAUGCACGAAAGCUAGGGGAGCAAACAGGAUUAGAUACCCGCGUAGUCCCUGUCUCUUAUAC
rnacentral:rRNA from 1 species